GAGACGCCGCGCGCUCGCCAGCCGCAGGCCAAGACCCUCCCGCAAAAAAACGACGGGAAGGGGCUGCCCCGUGUCCCGCCGGAUAAAACGUCCCUCUUCCCGCGCCGCCCGGUUUGCCUCGCCGCCCUUUCCGGGGAGACAUUUUGCCACUCCCUGUGGAUGCCGUUGCCUCCAGGAAAGACCAAGAAUCUGGAUCGGCCUUCGAGUCUGUGGAAGGCAAGCUAAUGGAGGAACACCGUUGCAGAAGGAAGUCAUUGCAGUGCAAAAGGUAUACGGGAAAAGACUGGCAUAUUUGCAAGCUGGACACACCCUCAGGGGUCAGCAAGGGAAUGCUGGGCAACAGCCUGGUUCACAGGCACCCUGGGCCAAAAGCCACGUGAACAGCAACAGGGGACACGGACAUGAGAAGCGAGCAAAAGGCAAAAUGUUCUUGGUAAAACCAAAGUGGAAAGAAUUGGACAAGGAACUGUGAGGUAUUCUACCAACCCCCAGCAGGGGUGAAAUCUAAAAAUUUUCCCUACCGGUUCUGUGGGCGUGGCUUAAUUGGUGGGCGUGGCUUGGUGGUCAGGUGACUGACUGGGCAUGGCCAAUAAUAAUAAAAAUAAUAAAGUAUACAAAACCUGG